rnacentral:lncRNA from 1 species
AAAAAUUGUAGUGGUUCUUCCUCAUCCACCAAUAACAUGGCAGUCACAAUUUUUCAAAAAAAGAAGAAGAAAAAGCUUGCUAAGUCAAACACCACAAAAGACGACUUAGGCAAAAAUCAGGGCAUCCCGAUGGACUGAAAGCUUCAAAGAAGCGGUCCAGGAAAAAUUAAGGAUAAAAAUCAAUCAAAAGAGGCAACCAAAAUCCUCAACAAAAACAAAAUAAGGUGACUGCCAUUUCAAGAAAAUAUCAUCUUGAAUCCUCAUUUUCACCUUCACACCUUCGAAGUCG